ACAAACGUGGAUAAACAGCACGGAUAUCAGCCGCGAUGAACAGUAAUUAUCGUUAUCUAUAAUAUGUCAAUGCUUCACGGACGUCGAACGUAUACAAUUUAUUAUCAAUUAUUUAACAUCCAACGGCCGUGCGAUAUUCUGUGGACUGUGAUAACUGACAAGUAUUAUUACGAAUUAAUGUGAAAACGGUUUUAUAAAAGCAAUAAAUUAAAUAAAAUAAAAUUAAGUAGUAUUGUGAAUAUACUUACGUAAAUAUCUUUUUGCGGCCAACGGCACUCACAUUCACAUUUGUAUUCAUAAUCAGAUUCAUAUUAUAUUCAUAAUAUCAUGUUAUAUUACAUGACAGUUAAUUAAAUAAAACUAUGAAUAAAUAGAUCCAUAUUAUUCACAAAUCGCAAACCAAACGACCUUCUAAUAUUCGGCGACUAGAAGAGCAUAGCCGCAGCAACAACAACUUUCCAAUGACCUUACCAAAAGACACCUUCCAAAUCUACGUUCCGACCAUAAUAUCAAAAGAGCUGAAAUCCUAUAUAGGAGGGACAGGAACACGGUAUAAUAUUGAAAUGUACCAUAGCCGCCAUGACCAGAGCGACUACAUGCCAAACUAUGUGAACUGACAAUAAUACGAUAUAAUAAUAUAAACAUUAUACGUUGAAAAAACAUUUUUACAUCAUACUCGCCUAGUCCUAGUUUAUAUUGUGCACUGUACACCACAAGAACUAAGAUUCAUCAUUCAUGUUGCACUUAAAUCACAAAUGUUGAAUGGCCUACGAGAUACUGCACACAUUACAUAGUGUACAAUAUAUUGGAUGUUUGACUUGUGUGUAGUUAAAACACUUCACCGUCUGGAUCAAUAGCAGAGCUGCACAUAAUUGGCUCAGUGGAUAAAGGAUUUACAAAAUGGCUAACCAGCAGUAUGGCUCACUGACAAUUCUGUGAAUGAUAUCCAAACAACAACAACAUCAACAACAACGUAGCGGCACUGUUACGAUCAACAUUUUAAUUUACAAUGAUAUAAAGGAUGUGUUGAUGUAAUGAUGUCUACCACACGUUCUUACACUAGAUGUGUCAUUGAAGCAUUCAGCUAAUUAUAUUUUUGCCAUUUAAUCUACAGAGAUCUGAAACAUAAAAAUUGGACUUUACUGGUUGUGUGAAAUUUGACGAAUUUGCUGUUGCUAUAAAACCAAAAAACAGAAGAGAAACGUGGACAUUCUAUAGAACACCAGAAUACAUUACACUUGAUCUAUUCUCAACAGAGUUCAUGAUAUCUUUGGAGUACUUAUGUUUGAAUUGAAUUGCUGAAAAAAGCCCUAAGAAAAAAUAUUACCGAGUAGUAAAAAGCCAUCAUUUUUUAUUUUAAAUUUUAGUUGACAUUUGAUUAUAGUAAGAUAAAUUACAUUAUAAAAUAUAAUUUUUUUUUUUAUUUAAUGUUAUUUAAAAAAAAAAAAACAAUUUUUUUUAGACUUCUAAAUUAAAUACAUUUUUAAACAAGUUACCAACAAUAUUAUGUGUAAUUAAGUAAACUGUACUUUGCUCAAAUCAGAUAAAAGGACACUACGUUAGUUUGAACAUAGCAAAUUUAUGAUCAGCAGGUCACGUUUAUGUUUGUUAGUUUACAAAUUAGAGUGACUUGAACUAUUAUAAAACUUAACUAUAAAAACAUAAUCUGUGUUUGCAUGGGCAUUUUUUUUAUGAUGAUACAGUUUUUAAGUGAGUUUUGAGCAUUUUUAAUUUGCGCUAUACCAAUUACCUACUAUCAAGGCUGGGAAUUAAAGAGUUAAAAAGAUAAUUUUAAGUUAAAUUAUAACUUUUUAACUUAACUAGUUACUUUUGGAUUUUUGGAAACACUUAUCAUGAAUUGUUUUAAGUUAAAAAUGUUAUAUUAUUCAAAUGAAAAACUUCAAUGAAAUACAUAUUAUGUGGAUAGUGUUUAUACUGUUUACAGUAUAAACACUUAAGACCAUAAUUUAGUAUUGGGUUUUGAGUUUUUAAAAUAUAAAGUACACUAUGUUGUAUACAAAAAAUUGUUAGUUGUAUGGUAAAAAGUUAAAUAAACAUAUGUAUUAACUUUUAACUUCUAACUGAGUUAACCAAAAAUUAAAUUACCUUUGUUCUUAUUGAUGCAUAUCAACUUAACAUAACUGAGUUAAAAAAAAAAAUCAUUAACUUCUCCAUCCUUGCCUAACCUUGCUAAAAAAUUGAUCCAUCAUAAAAAACCCACAUACAAACCUAUAAUGUUGUAAUCUUAUAAGUUAUACCUAACCAUUUAGUUUUGUAACUAGGUAGAUUUUUAAACUAACGUAGCUAAACAUAAUUUGCUGAGCUUAAAUUUGGUUUAAAUUUGUGUUACGCACUAGUAAGAUGGAGAUAAUAAAUGUGUGUGUACUGUCCUCUUGAUAUGUCAACAUUUUUAUCAAUAGUUAUUAAAAAUAUCUUAAUAGAAACUAGAAAUUACAUGUUUUAUAACAAGACACUAUAAAAGAUUUUUUUUUCCUUAAUUUUUUUGUUUUUAAUUAGUAGAAUUAAUGUACAAAACACAUUUGAAUAAUUUAAUAUUGUAUAAUAGCACUUAAACGACCAAUUACAUAUAUUUGAAAAAAUGUUUUUCCCAUAACAACCAAAACUAUAAACUGUUUUCUAUAGGUAAUAGUGUACCUAUUUAUUAUAAUGAUAGUGUUUACCAGGGCCGGAUUAUGGUAAUAUAAAGAGUGGGGGGGCUAUAACUUUUGGUGAGGCCAAAACAAUUUUGUUAUUUUAUUUAGAUUAAUAAUUUGUAAUAAAUAUUAAUUUAAAUAAGUACCUAUAGUAUAUUUGUAUAUUGUAGUAUAGUCACAUUUACUGAUAAAACAGUACUUUAUAUUUGUUAGCCAAGUAUUAUAAAAUAUGUUUUAAUGAUAAUAUAGAAAAAUUGUGUUGUAUUCUAAU